AUUGAACGCUGGCGGCAGGCCUAACACAUGCAAGUCGAGCGGAUGAAGGGAGCUUGCUCCUGGAUUCAGCGGCGGACGGGUGAGUAAUGCCCAGGAAUCUGCCUGGUAGUGGGGGAUAACGUCCGGAAACGGGCGCUAAUACCGCAUACGUCCUGAGGGAGAAAGUGGGGGAUCUUCGGACCUCACGCUAUCAGAUGAGCCUAGGUCGGAUUAGCUAGUUGGUGGGGUAGAGGCCUACCAAGGCGACGAUCCGUAACUGGUCUGAGAGGAUGAUCAGUCACACUGGAACUGAGACACGGUCCAGACUCCUACGGGAGGCAGCAGUGGGGAAUAUUGGACAAUGGGCGAAAGCCUGAUCCAGCCAUGCCGCGUGUGUGAAGAAGGUCUUCGGAUUGUAAAGCACUUUAAGUUGGGAGGAAGGGCAGUAAGUUAAUACCUUGCUGUUUUGACGUUACCAACAGAAUAAGCACCGGCUAACUUCGUG
rnacentral:rRNA from 1 species